GUUUAUUUGGUUUUUUUUUAAAGCGUUUUCAGCGGUACUCAUACCAGCCACCGUGAUAACUAUCUCACUGGUGUCUCUGUUGGGGACUGUCCACGUUUAGGGUACAUCAAAGUUUAGAAAUUUGACGGAGUCAUUGCAUAUACACUUGGUGGAGUGCAGUCCCGCGUUGCAGAAACUUCAGCACCAUAACCUGAAGUGCACAGAUGAAAGUAGUUCGGAGAAGAAAGCUAUAAGUUCACUAGCUGGGACACCUGUGCACUGGCACGCUACUCUUGAAGAGGUACCAUUAGGAGUACCAACAAUAAUCAUAGCUCAUGAGUUCUAUGAUGCUCUUCCAGUUCAUCAGUUUCAGGUUUGUGUGAUUUGCAAUAUAGUCUUCUCAUUUUUCCAGCUUGUGCUUCUCUUUCUGGCUAUUUUCUAUGUUCUGUGUAUGUUGCUUUCAAAGCAGUUCAUCUUGAAGAAACAACAUGAAGCUAUCCAGAAGCAACAAGGUCAGUCUUACGCACUUAUUGAGGAGACGGAUGAGAGUCUUCAUGUAGCGACAAGCGGAGGAUCACAUGGGCACGGGGAGUUUGAAUUCAGCGAGAUCUUUGUGCAUCAGUUUUUUCACACCAUAGAAUUUUUUGCUUAGAGCUGUUUCCAACACCUCUUCUUACCUGCGUAUAUGGGCUCUCAGUCUUGCACACUCGGAGAUAUCGUCAGUCUUCUAUGAGACUAUGAGAAGGUCGUCCUUCUCGCUUGGGGUACAACAAUGUGUUGAUCCUGAUCGUUGGGAUCAUUGUUUUCAUAUUGUGGGAUUGCUGCUGGUGAUAGAGACACUGAGCACGUUCCUUCGCGCACUGCGUCUCCACUUGGUGGAGUUUCAGAACAAAUUCUACGCUCAUUUCUCUUUCGUUCUCACCGGAAACGAAGACGAUUGAUAAGGAUGAAUGAUUGUUCCAUUCCCCUCCUAUUCUCUGCAAAAUUUGCAUAUAUAAAAAAGGAACGAGGCAAACCAAGUUUUAUUUAUUUUCUGCGAAUAUAUUUUUCCCCUUCCACAUUCAGGGUGGGCGGAAUUAAAUAUGUUUAUUUUGUUUGCCUGUCUGGAGAUUAGAUUUUUUUAAACAACAGUGGAGAAGGGGCUAAUGGAAUUUGUACGAGGUAAACUCAUUUGUUGAUGUGUUUGUUUGGAGUUAAAUACGUGAGGAUUUGUUUCCACUUACUA